rnacentral:rRNA from 1 species
AACGGGUGAGUAAUGCGUGACCAACCUGCCCCAUGCUCCAGAAUAACUCUUGGAAACGGGUGGUAAUGCUGGAUGCUCCAACUUGACGCAUGUCUUGUUGGGAAAGUGUUUAGUGGCAUGGGAUGGGGUCGCGUCCUAUCAGCUUGUAGGCGGGGUAAUGGCCCACCUAGGCUUCGACGGGUAGCCGGCCUGAGAGGGCGGACGGCCACAUUGGGACUGAGAUACGGCCCAGACUCCUACGGGAGGCAGCAGUA